rnacentral:piRNA from 1 species
UGGGACUAUAGGCACAUCCUGCUAACACCCA